AUGCGGGACUUUAUUCGUGCAGAGUCUCGUCACCCGAGGGACACUAUGCCCAGAAGGACGUUCAGAUAUUUGUUAGAAAUCCACCAAAAAUAGCUGGUUUUACGUUUCCUUCGGACCUAGUAGAAGGCAGUUCUAUACAAGUUUUAUGCGGCAUCACUUCUGGAGACAAGCCGGUCUACUUCUCCUGGCUCAAAGACGGACAGACACUUCCCUCCAACCUUCAGGUUCAAGAGAAAUCCCUAGAUGAAUUCAGUUUCCUGAUUUUCUCCCACGUGACGUCACAGCAUAGCGGCGAAUACACUUGCGUCGCAAGUAACUCUGCGGCUGAGGUUAAUCAUACCGCGAGAUUGGCUGUUAAAGUUGCACCGUCGUGGGUGUUUGAGCCGCAAGACGUGUCUGCACUGCUUGGUACUCCCAUACUAGUUCAUUGUUCUACAAAGGGAUAUCCGGAGCCAAAAAUAUCGUGGCAUAAAGGGCACGGUUCGAAUCCCACUGAUUUCCGUCCCCUAACGGGUCUUGAAGCGGCAAUAUCAGUGCUUGGUAAUGGAUCAUU